AAUAAAUUGAAGAUAAUUCUAUUGAAAUGACGUACUUGGGUAUCUGGAUCCGUAUCAACAUGCAUCAUGGGCUAAAUAAUCCGUAUUAAUGCCAAUUAAAUCAUGAGGGGGGAAUCCACGCCUCAUGAACCACGCUCUAAUCAAUAUGGUGCUAAGGGCUUAUCGUGCCAAAUAAUAAUAACCUUAUACUAGAGAGCCGGUGUAA
rnacentral:lncRNA from 1 species